UUUAUAUAUGGAAGAGAAAAAUACGGAAUGCUUGUCCGCUGAAACCUGGAAUCCGUAGGUACCCGUUCUUUGCAGUAUAGGGAUUUCACGGAUCUAGGAAGGAAAGGUAAAGUUACCAUUCUCGCCUGCCAUCGCCAUCGCCAUCGCCAUCGCCAUCGGGGGCGACGCCAUGAACAAGAAACAGGGAUGAUGUGAUGCACUGUAUUCUUCCAGCAUGAAUCUUAAUAAUUGGGAAGAAAUGCUAUGUAUUGGAAUCAAUGCUGCUACAAAGCUCACUGCAGGUUUCCCCGAACUUUAUUGCAACAUACUGAUCGAAUGCAUUUGGGGUUGAAUGAUAUCCCAUCCCAAUAGUUGAAGCUUGUAAGAGAUGGUCAGUUUAGCUUCAUCCAUAGAGAUGGAGGAUUAUGCAACGGUUCGGAGUACUUGGUUCUAUAUGGAAACAGAGGAUGUAUAUGGAAGUGAAGAGCAAUCAGAUUUGGAGAAAGCAAUUGAAGUUGAUGCUGCGGAGUUGGAGCCUCAACUAGCAGAUGGUGAUGUUGAGACACAACAAUCUGCCACCUCUGAGCAGUUGCAUAGUGAUGAUGAGGAUAUUAAGGAUGAGAUUGAUUUUGGAGAAGAGAAUGACCAUCAACCAAACAGUAGCAGUGCUUCUAAGGAUGCAAGCGAAGCUGGUACAACCUGUGGAAGCACUGAUGAAACAGAGAUGUUGCCACAAAUUGGGAUGCAAUUCGUUGACUUGAAAGCAGCAUAUUCUUUCUAUAGUAAUUACGCCCGGAAGAAAGGUUUUGGUGUUCGCAUAGAUCGAACAAACCUAUCAAGGAAAAGGGAGUCGGAUGGUUCAAGGCAAGUUCUGUCAAAGAGGUUUGUAUGUUAUAAAGAAGGUUUCCGAAAUGACAACCACAAGCGACAGAGGGGAAAAGAGGUGCGUCGCCGGACAGAGGUUAGAGUUGGUUGUCCUGCAUUUGUUAUGGUUAAAGCAGCUUCUAAUGGAUGGGUAGCUGAUAAAUUUGAAGCAAAUCACAAUCACCCAAUGGUUUUUCCAGGUCAAACAUCCAGGCUCCGAGCACACCAAAAUUUGACUGGUAAAAGUUAUAUGGGAAGAAAUGAAAGGAAUAUUGUUGCUGUCGACUGCCAAGCUGUUUUAGCUUAUUUUGACUCCAUGCAAGCUAGGGAUCCCAGAUUCAUUUAUUCUAUCAAUGUAUCAGAUGAUGGAAUGGUAAGUGGAAUUUUUUGGGCUGAUAGCAAAGCAAGGUCUGCAUAUGAAGUGUUUGGUGAUGUCGUGGUGUUCGACACAAUGUUCAAGACAAAUAGGUAUAGAUGGCCAUUUGGGCCAUUCACUGGCGUGAACCACCAUGCUCAAUCUAUUCUGUUUGGAUGUGGUUUAGUUGUGAAUGAAACAAAGGAGUUGUAUGAAUGGUUAUUUAAGGCAUGGAUGAAUGCAAUGGAAGGCAAGGCACCAAAGGCUAUUAUUACUAUUGAUUGCACUGGUAUUGUACCUGCAGUGAGCAGUGUUUUCCCCAAAACAGUACAUCGUUUUUGUUCACAGCACAUCACAAAGCAUGCCCUAGAGCACCUCGGUGCCCUAUGGUACCUAAACCCUGAUUUUAAGAAGGAAUGGAAGCAGUGCAUUUAUCGUUCAGGGAUAGAGGAAGAUUUUCUAGCUCGGUGGGAAGCGAUGAUGGUGAAAUAUAAUUUGAAGGACCACUCGUGGUUGAAUGAUAAGUUUUCCCUAAAGGAGUAUUGGGUGCCUUGUUAUUUACGAGGCUCAUUCUUUGCCGGAAUGAGGUCGACACAGCGAAGUGAGGGGAUGAACAGUUACUUCCUGGGGUAUUUCAAGGACAAUAUGACAUUAUAUAGAUUUGUCAAGCAAUAUGAAAGGGCUGUUGCUAGGCGAAGAAAGAAGGAAGCUGAUGCCGAGUUCAGAACAUUCACCCAAUUACCUCGAUUGUCCUCGCAAAGUCCACUUGAAGAGCAUGCGGGAAAGGUUUACACAAGGCGGGUGUUUGAGAUUUUUAAGAAACAUUUCAAUGAGAGCAUUAGCUUAUCUGCCCAUGAGGAGUCAGCUGAAGGGCCAGUUCGGAAGUUUAAGGUGGGGCCUUUUAAAGUUCCAAGUGAGCAGAGAUGUGUGGUGGAAUACAACUCCUUAGAGGAAGAGGUGUGUUGUAGCUGUCGUAUGUUUGAGUUCAUGGGGUUGGUGUGUAAGCAUGUGUUAAAGGUUCUACAAAUGGUUGAUCGUGACAGUAUCCCCUCUAAAUACAUUCUAUUUAGGUGGACAAAAGAAGCAAGGUGUGGGCUGCCGGUUGAUUAUAUUCCAGAAUUUUCCCCUGCUACUAUAACAACAAGAUCACUAUGUGGUGUAUCACAUGCCGUCAAGAAUAUGAUGGCCAUGGCAUGCUCAUCCCAGGAAUGUUGUGAAGUUGCUAUGGGAACAUUACAAGGGUUGACUGAGAAGCUUGCCACCAUGGUGCAAAAUGCUACGGGAGUUGGGGUUGGUGAUUCCACUAUAGGCACUCAAAAGUCUACUGUCGAAUCAAUGCCCGAAGCACAUAAGGAUUUGAAUAUGCCUCCUCCAUCCGUGAAUCAUGACUGGCCAAGUCAAGCCCAUCAUAAACCUCCAAUGGAGCAAUCCAUAGGCAAGGGUAAGAACAGGUGUAGUAUAUGUCGCAGCAUUGGGCAUAACAAGAAUAAGUGCGAAGCAGUAGCCAAAGAGACUGGUGAACCUGGGUUAAAGAGGGCUUUGGUGGUGUAUGAAGAACCCUCUGAAGCACCACAGUUCUUUAUUAGGUUUGGAGAUAUGACCUGAGAAGUGUGGGGGCUGCCCUAUGAUUGGGUGCAACCAAAGGUAGACUGGCCUGCUGAGCUUUUAGGUGAAUCUGCAGAAAAGUUAAUUUACUAACUACUGAAUCUUCACUGUCAAAGCUCCAGCUUUGAUGAAAUUUAUUCCAUGCCACCAAGGGCUCUUAAUCUUACUUGUGAAGAUGUCAAAUGCAGGGAGCCAGCGACGACCAACAAGGCUGAAUCUUUUAUUAAUCAAAGGGGGGUAAAGGGAAAGAGCUUUAAGUGGUAAGGUUAUAUUGGCCUAAGCCUAGAUGGCCUUUACUGUGAAGAAAGAAGCUUUGAAUGCAGGGAUAUAUGUACCACUAGAUGUUGGUUUAGCUACAUUGGAUUUUGGCUUCUUGGUCUUUUGGAAGAGGCAUUUACCUUGUUUGCCUUGUAAAUGCUAUGGAUAUUGUGGCCCCUUAUUUAUUUUUAUUUUUUUGGACAUUUGUGUAUGUGUUGAGUCCAAGGCAUGAAAAGCAUUUUAUGUAGCUUUGUUUGUUGCCAGAGGGAUGGUUCACACUGAUAAAGAAAAAUCAAUACAAUGAAACACCUUUGUAGGGGUGUUAUUGCCA